UACGUAGGGUGCGAGCGUUGUCCGGAAUUAUUGGGCGUAAAGGGUGCGUAGGCGGUUUGGUAAGUCUGAUGUGAAAUCUAUGGGCUCAACUCAUAGUCUGCAUCGGAAACUGCCGGGCUUGAGUGUGGGAGAGGUGAGUGGAAUUCCUGGUGUAGCGGUGAAAUGCGUAGAUAUCAGGAGGAACACCUGUGGCGAAAGCGGCUCACUGGACCAUAACUGACGCUGAUGCACGAAAGCUAGGGGAGCAAACAGG
rnacentral:rRNA from 1 species